AGUGAACGCUGGCGGCGUGCCUAAUACAUGCAAGUCGAACGGAGUGGCGCACGGGUGAGUAAUGUAUAGCUAAUCCGCCCUACACUAGAGGACAACAGUUGGCAACGACUGCUAAUACUCUAUAGUGUAGGUGGAGGCUAUAUGGUAUCAGCUAGUUGAUGAGGUAAUGUCUCACCAAGGCUAUGACGCAUAACUGGUCUGAGAGGAUGAUCAGUCACACGGGAACUGAGACACGGUCCAGACUCCUACGGGAGGCAGCAGUAGGGAAAAUUGCUCAAGGUGGGAAACCCUGAAGCAGCAGCGCCGCGUGAAGGAUUACAGUUUUCGGAGCGUAAGCUCCUUUUGUUAGGGAAGCGGUACCUAACGAAUAAGCACCGGCUAACUCCGUGCCAGCAGCCGCGGUAAUAC
rnacentral:rRNA from 1 species